GGUGGGGAUGACGUCAAGUCCUCAUGGCCCUUAUAGGUGGGGCUACACACGUCAUACAAUGGCUGGUACAAAGGGUUGCCAACCCGCGAGGGGGAGCCAAUCCCAUAAAGCCAGUCGUAGUCCGGAUCGCAGUCUGCAACUCGACUGCGUGAAGUCGGAAUCGCUAGUAAUCGUGGAUCAGCAUGUCACGGUGAAUACGUUCCCGGGUCUU
rnacentral:rRNA from 1 species